rnacentral:lncRNA from 1 species
AUUAAACGAGAAGUUAUAUGUUGAAUAUGUUAGGUUAUUUAGAUGUUUUAAGUUUACAAAUUUAAAUAUUUUUAUAUGUCAUUUUCCAGUAGUUUAAUCCUGUAAAACGUCGCAUUCAACUCAAUUUUAUUAUUCACCAGAUUGACGGUAAAAUAAAGACAUAUUUAGAUUUAUUGCAGCUCUAUGAAAAAUAUGAGAAAGAACGCAUAAGGGAGGGGGAGAGAAGACAUACAUUUGUAGAAUGUGCGUACUUUAAACGAUUUUCUCAAAACAAAGUUAAUCUACAUAACACCAGAUACUUAUAAAAUAUAAUUUACAUAAUUUUAAGCCCAAUCUGAUAAUUCAGUUCCUCAUAUAUUUGUAUACCUUUGGGUUUCCGAUAUUUUAGUUUUAGACGUUAGAUAUGAAGAUUUGUUAUGCAAUUCGCAACAAUCGAAAGCGAGGCAAAACCUUACUUAGUCUACCAAGC